UUCGUAGGUGACCUGCGGAGGAUCAUU
rnacentral:rRNA from 1 species